CUCAAUGAAUAUAAAUAGCCGCAACGUCCUUGUGCUAAGGUAGCAUAAUCAUUUGUUUUUUAAUUAAAAACCAGAACGAAAGAUUUAACAUUUUUAUUUCUCUCUUAUAUAUAAUAAUUAAAUUUAUUUUAAAUAUAAAAAAAUAUUUAUUAAUAAAAAAGACGAUAAGACCCUAUUAAACUUUACUAAAGUUAAACUGGGGUAGUUAAUUAAAUAUUAUUUUAAUUUAAAUUUUAAACAAACCUAAUAAAAUUAAAAACAUCAAGUUACUAUAGGGAUAACAGCGCAAUAAAUUUCUUAAGCUCUCAUUUAAAAAUUCAUUUGCGACCUCGAUGUUGAAUUAAUAAUCUAUUAAAUGCAAUAAUUUAAUAAAGAAAGUC
rnacentral:rRNA from 1 species